GGUAUUAUAUUUUAUAUAGAAAAUAUGAUUUGCACUCAUAAAGAAAGAUAUUAUCUUUAAUUCCU
rnacentral:tRNA from 1 species